rnacentral:rRNA from 1 species
UACGUAGGGUGCGAGCGUUGUCCGGAAUUACUGGGCGUAAAGGGCUCGUAGGCGGCCAACUAAGUCGGACGUGAAAUCCCUCAGCUUAACUGGGGAACUGCGUCCGAUACUGGAUGGCUUGGAUUUGGGAGAGGGAUGCGGAAUUCCAGGUGUAGCGGUGAAAUGCGUAGAUAUCUGGAGGAACACCGGUGGCGAAGGCGGCAUCCUGGACCAACAUUGACGCUGAGGAGCGAAAGCUAGGGGAGCAAACGGG